CCUACGGGCGGCAGCAGUGAGGAAUAUUGGUCAAUGGGCGCGAGCCUGAACCAGCCAAGUAGCGUGAAGGAUGACUGCCCUAUGGGUUGUAAACUUCUUUUAUAAGGGAAUAAAAUGAGCCACGUGUGGCUUUUUGUAUGUACUUUAUGAAUAAGGAUCGGCUAACUCCGUGCCAGCAGCCGCGGUAAUACGGAGGAUCCGAGCGUUAUCCGGAUUUAUUGGGUUUAAAGGGAGCGUAGAUGGGUUGUUAAGUCAGUUGUGAAAGUUUGCGGCUCAACCGUAAAAUUGCAAUUGAUACUGGCAGCCUUGAGUACAGUUGAGGUAGGCGGAAUGCGUGGUGUAGCGGUGAAAUGCUUAGAUAUCACGAAGAACUCCGAUUGCGAAGGCAGCUUACUAAACUGCCACUGACAUUGAUGCUCGAAAGUGUGGGUAUCAAACAGGAUUAGAUACCCUGGUAGUC
rnacentral:rRNA from 1 species